AUUGAACGCUAGCGGGAUGCCUUACACAUGCAAGUCGAACGAGCGGCGGACGGGUGAGUAAUGUAUGGGGAUCUGCCCGAUAGAGGGGGAUAACUACUGGAAACGGUGGCUAAUACCGCAUACUAUCGGAUGAACCCAUAUGGGAUUAGCUAGUAGGGGGGGUAAAGGCCCACCUAGGCGACGCUCUCUAGCUGGUCUGAGAGGAUGAUCAGCAACACUGGGACUGAGACACGGCCCAGAAUCCUGCGGGAGGCAGCAUUGGGGAAUAUUGAACAAUGGGCGCAAGCCGGAUGCAGCCAUGCCGCGUGUAUGAAGAAGGCCUUAGGGUUGUAAAGUACUUUCAGCGGGGAGGCGUUACCCGCAGAAGAAGCACCGGCUAACUACGUGCCAGCAGCCGCGGUAAUAC
rnacentral:rRNA from 1 species